rnacentral:rRNA from 1 species
AAUGAACGCUGGCGGCAUGCCUAACACAUGCAAGUCGAACGAGACCUUCGGUCGUAGUGGCGCACGGGUGCGUAACGCGUGGGAAUCUGCCCUUGGGUUCGGAAUAACAGUUAGAAAUGACUGCUAAUACCGAAUGAUGUCGUAAGACCAAAGAUUCAUCGCCCAGGGAUGAGCCCGCGUAGGAUUAGCUAGUUGGUGUGGUAAAAGCGCACCAAGGCGACGAUCCAGUCUGGUCUGAGAGGAUGAUCAGCCACACUGGGACUGAGACACGGCCCA